UAGGUCUUAGGGAAAACUUCCCUCCUCCCUCUGGGGAGUAUCUCGCUGGGGCCUCCA
rnacentral:pre_miRNA from 1 species